rnacentral:rRNA from 1 species
UGCAGUCGAGGGGUAACAUAGAGUGCUUGCACUCUGAUGACGACCGGCGCACGGGUGCGUAACGCGUAUACAAUCUACCUUUUGCUGAGGGAUAGCCUUUGGAAACGAAGAUUAAUACCUCAUAGUAUGUUUGACUGGCAUCAAUUAAACAUUAAAGGUUACGGCAAAAGAUGAGUAUGCGUUCUAUUAGCUAGAUGGUGUGGUAACGGCACACCAUGGCAACGAUAGAUAGGGGCCCUGAGAGGGGGAUCCCCCACACUGGUACUGAGACACGGACCAGACUCCUACGGGAGGCAGCAGUGAGGAAUAUUGGACAAUGGGCGCAAGCCUGAUCCAGCCAUGCCGCGUGCAGGAAGACUGCCCUAUGGGUUGUAAACUGCUUUUAUACAGGAAGAAACAGCUCUACGUGUAGAGCCUUGACGGUACUGUAAGAAUAAGGAUCGGCUAACUCCGUGCCAGCAGCCGCGGUAAUACGGAGGAUCCAAGCGUUAUCCGGAAUCAUUGGGUUUAAAGGGUCCGUAGGUGGAUAAUUAAGUCAGAGGUGGAAUCCUGCAGCUCAACUGUAGAAUUGCCUUUGAUACUGGUUAUCCUGAAUUAUUGUGAAGUAGUUAGAAUAUGUAGUGUAGCGGUGAAAUGCAUAGAUAUUACAUAGAAUACUAAUUGCGAAGGCAGAUUACUAACAAUAUAUUGACACUGAUGGACGAAAGCGUGGGGAGCGGACAGGAUUAGAUACCCUGGUAGUCCACGCCGUAAACGAUGGUCACUAGCUGUUCGAACUUC